UACAGAGGUCUCAAGCGUUUGUUCGGAUUCAUUGGGCGUAAAGGGUGCGUAGGUGGCGCCGUAAGUCGGGUGUGAAAUUUCGGAGCUUAACUCCGAAACUGCAUUCGAUACUGCGGUGCUUUGAGGACUGGAGAGGAGACUGGAAUUCAUGGUGUAGCAGUGAAAUGCGUAGAGAUCAUGAGGAAGACCAGUGGCGAAGGCGGGUCUCUGGACAGUUCCUGACACUGAGGCACGAAGGCCAGGGGGAGCAAACGGG
rnacentral:rRNA from 1 species